GAAACAUCAAAAUACCCAUAAAUUAUUCAACAUCUAACAUUCAACUAUCUAUACCACAACGUAAGGCAAGGUUGGAAAGCUACAGAUUUGCAAACCAAAACCAAACUGUAAAACACUACGGAGAGACAUCAAGAUAUCCAUAAACCAAUUAAAUUGGGAUCUUUAUCUUUUACCCAACUAGCAAGCAAUCCCAGCUUUACAUCUAAAACUUACAAAACUACACUACUCGAAGCUAACAGAGACGGAUAUUAAAGCAGAUGCAGGACCAAAUGUUAAAAGCUAAACAGAAUGAAGCUCUAAGAACCAUGAAAACCCAUUAAUCUAGCUACUAACCUUAAUUAAACGGGCCAAAAAAGCGGUCAAAAUGAUUAAAGGAAGAAACUAAAAACUGAGAAAACUGAAGAGGAUCAGCAUACCUGAGAAAAGGAAACACAGAGAAAACUAAGCCAAAGGGUAAAAAGCAUUAUAGUAAGGGAGUAAGGGACGUGUUCUUUAGCUUUUAUAAAUAAAAGAGAAUUUGUGUGA
rnacentral:misc_RNA from 1 species